rnacentral:lncRNA from 1 species
UUCAAGCGCGGAAGCACCUGAAGAUCGAAAAAGUGUCCUGACAUCAGUUCCAAAGGUCAAAGCCUCUUGUUGUUCGAUGCUCGGAACAGCAUGAGGUAUCAAGUCCAACAUUUCUGGCGUAUUUUCGCUAUAAGCAAUGACAGUAAAGUUCUGCUCAUCAAUAGCAAUCAUACAGCCAAAUGGCUGAAUUAGACUUCCCCUUUGUAUUUUCUGAAGAUAAGCAGAUACAGUCAUUUUCGCUAUACGCAAUGACAGUAAAGUUUUGCUCACUAAUAACAAUCAUACAACCAAAUGGCUGAAUUAGACUUCCCCUUUGCAUUUUCUGAAGAUAAGCAGAUACAGUUGAAGAUGGAACAUUGCUAGUGAAAUUUGACAAGUUAACUAAAUUAGAGUAAUCAAAUUGUUGUUCAGACUCUUCAAACUCCACGUGGAGUUUUGCAUCAAUUGGGGUUUGAGCAACAACACGAGCACCAUGCCUAGACCUAGCUGAACUGCUCCUAGAGCAAUUAGUCUUGCUUGUUGUAGAUUUAGAAGACAUUUCUAACCCUUUCUUUGUUUCAGUAACAAGAAAACAUCAAUAUUGAAAGAUGGAAUUCCUCAAUUCUCCUAUGUAAGUAUUUAGUACCCUAAUCAAAUAAUAUAUGCAGAAAGGACAAGAAGAAUCAAGAAUCUUGAAAUGAAACAACCAAAAUUGAAAUAAGAGGAAGGAAUUUACAUAAUCUUUAUAUCAAAUAGAAUCUACCAUAGUUAAGAAAAAACCAUAAAAGAACAAAAGAAGAAAAGGUGAUACCAACUUGUGGACUACUACUACCUCAUACCAAUCCAAGAUUCCAUCUUAUUAAAAGAAUUUCUAGAACCCUAUGUGGAGAAGGACCAAAGCUAAGAAGGAGUUCAAUUUUCCAACUUAUGGUUCUGAUUCUCAACCACUCAGAACCAGCCAACUGAAGCAAAAUGGUUAGCUAAAAAUAGAGUCUUUAUACAUAGAUGUUGCUUUUCGUGCCUUAAUAAAAAAAGCUUUAAACAC